rnacentral:lncRNA from 1 species
GGCAUGCUUUGUCCAUCAUCACAGUGUAUUUCAACCCACAGUUCCCUGUAUUCCGGAGAGUCUGGUGUCAAGUACUAGCUGCAGUAAUAAUGUAGUCACCAUGUCAUGGGUGAGCAAUGAGGCUGGGGAGCUCUAUACGGUCCAGGCCUUCAGCGCUGAUGGGUUAUUCUCUGACAGCUGCUCGGGGUUUGGUCAGUCAUGUGAUCUCAAAUCACUGACAUGUGGUGAGCCUUACACUGCUACAGUAGUAGCACAGGACAGCGUCUGCACCAGCGCACCAAGUCAAGUUGCUUCAAUCAGGACAGUGCCCUGUGUGCCGGAUAAUGUGACUGCUAAUGUGAGCUGCCAAGGGAAUGAUCUGUCUGUGUUCUGGGAGGAGAGCGCAGGAGCAGACUCUUACACAGCUGUGCUAGAGGACAGUAAUGGCCAAUUCACCAGCUGUCAGAGCAUGAUCCACACCACCUGUACAGUUAACAGACUUGUCUGCGGACAGACCUACCGUGUCAGUGUGACAGCAUCAGACGGAUACUGUGACAGCUUGCCCAGUGCCAUCACUGAAGUUCAGUCAGGUAGGAAGCAGUGAGGACAGGCUUACAUGCACACAAACAUGUCAAAUUCA